rnacentral:misc_RNA from 1 species
CUGCUGUUGUUGUUGAUGCUGCUGUUCUGGUACCUGUUGCAUUGCGGGGAUUUGAUAGUGCGUCCACUGAGCUUGCUGUGUCAAUGACAUUGAAUCAACCCCAAAAACUAAACCCGAAAUUCUCUUGCCUUGGGUCGACUCGGCAAUCACUCCAGCCUUGACCAAGAAAUCCUCCAGAGUUAUCUCACCUAAAGUUAGUUGCCUCUCCUGGCUUCUCUUAUCAACAUUAUCUAUUUUUACCCCCUGCUGAAUAUCUUGCCACACCUCAUCAACAGUCUUCUUGCUGAGAUCCCUGGACAUUGUAAUGCUCGAUGGAUGAUGCUGAGAAGCCCCUUGCUGCACUGGCCCGUAAUCAUUUCCCCCCACCACUUCUUGAUUAGACUCGAUAGUCCAUACAGUUUUAACAAACUCGUCAAG